rnacentral:rRNA from 1 species
CAGGAUGGACCCGCGUCUGAUUAGCUAGUUGGUAAGGUAACGGCUUACCAAGGCGACGAUCAGUAGCCGACCUGAGAGGGUGAUCGGCCACAUUGGAACUGAGACACGGUCCAAACUCCUACGGGAGGCAGCAGUGGGGAAUAUUGCACAAUGGGCGAAAGCCUGAUGCAGCAACGCCGCGUGAGUGAUGAAGGCCUUCGGGUCGUAAAACUCUGUCCUCAAGGAAGAUAAUGACGGUACUUGAGGAGGAAGCCCCGGCUAACUACGUGCCAGCAGCCGCGGUAAUACGUAGGGGGCUAGCGUUAUCCGGAUUUACUGGGCGUAAAGGGUGCGUAGGCGGUCUUUCAAGUCAGGAGUGAAAGGCUACGGCUCAACCGUAGUAAGCUCUUGAAACUGGGAGACUUGAGUGCAGGAGAGGAGAGUGGAAUUCCUAGUGUAGCGGUGAAAUGCGUAGAUAUUAGGAGGAACACCAGUUGCGAAGGCGGCUCUCUGGACUGUAACUGACGCUGAGGCACGAAAGCGUGGGGAGCAAACAGGAUUAGAUACCCUGGUAGUCCACGCUGUAAACGAUGAGUACUAGGUGUCGGGGGUUACCCCCCUCGGUGCCGCAGCUAACGCAUUAAGUACUCCGCCUGGGAAGUACGCU